rnacentral:rRNA from 1 species
AAGUUUUCGGAUGGAAGCUUGUAAACUUAGUGGCGGACGGGUGAGUAACACGUGAGCAACCUGCCUAUCAGAGGGGGAUAACGAUUGGAAACGAUCGCUAAUACCGCAUGACAUAGCGGAACCGCAUGGUUCUGUUAUCAAAGAUUUUAUCGCUGAUAGAUGGGCUCGCGUCCGAUUAGAUAGUUGGUGGGGUAACGGCCUACCAAGGCGACGAUCAGUAGCCGACCUGAGAGGGUGAUCGGCCACAUUGGAACUGAGAGACGGUCCAAACUCC